GACGAACGCUGGCGGCGUGCUUAACACAUGCAAGUCGAACGAUGAACCCGGAGCUUGCUCCGGUGGAUUAGUGGCGAACGGGUGAGUAACACGUGAGUAAUCUGCCCUUGACUCUGGGAUAACUGCGGGAAACUGUAGCUAAUACCGGAUACGACCCUCGGCGGCAUUGCCAGGGGGUGGAAAGAAUUUCGGUCAGAGGAUGGACUCGCGGCCUAUCAGCUAGUUGGUGAGGUAACGGCUCACCAAGGCGACGACGGGUAGCCGGCCUGAGAGGUUUGCCGGCCGCACUGGGCCAGAGACAAGGCCCACACUCGUCCGGGAGGCAGCAGUGGAGAAUAUUGAACAGUGGCCGCAGGCCUUGUCCAGGCAUGCCGAGUGAGAGAUGAAGGCCUCCGGGUUGUAAAGCUCAUUCAUCCGCGACGACAAUGACGGUACCGGAAGAAGAAGCCGCGGCUAACUUCGUGCCAGCCGCCGCGGUAA
rnacentral:rRNA from 1 species